CGCGUAGGUGGUUUGUUAAGCGAGAUGUGAAAGCCCCGGGCUUAACCUGGGAACGGCAUUUCGAACUGGCAGACUAGAGUGUGGUAGAGGGUAGUGGAAUUUCCUGUGUAGCGGUGAAAUGCGUAGAUAUAGGAAGGAACACCAGCGGCGAAGGCGGCUACCUGGACCAACACUGACACUGAGGUGCGAAAGCGUGGGGAGCAAACA
rnacentral:rRNA from 1 species